UACGGGGGGGGCAAGCGUUGUUCGGAAUUACUGGGCGUAAAGGGCUCGUAGGUGGCCAACUAAGUCAGACGUGAAAUCCCUCGGCUUAACCGGGGAACUGCGUCUGAUACUGGAUGGCUUGAGUUCGGGAGAGGGAUGCGGAAUUCCAGGUGUAGCGGUGAAAUGCGUAGAUAUCUGGAGGAACACCGGUGGCGAAGGCGGCGACCUGGGUAGAUACUGACGCUGAGGUGCGAAAGCGUGGGGAGCAAACAGG
rnacentral:rRNA from 1 species